CGUGUAGGCGGUUAGGCAAGUCAGGUGUGAAAUCCCUUGGCUCAACCAAGGAAGUGCGCUUGAAACUGCUUAACUAGAGUACAGGAGGGGAAAGUGGAAUUCCCAGUGUAGAGGUGAAAUUCAUAGAUAUUGGGAGGAACACCGGUAGCGAAGGCGGCUUUCUGGCCUGAUACUGACGCUGAGACGCGAAAGCGUGGGGAGCAAACA
rnacentral:rRNA from 1 species